AGAUGACACAUGGCAGCAGCUAAAACGGGAAAAGCGCUCCCUGAGUCAUCCCUGGAGCCGGGCGGCAAAGGCUCCUCCUGGGACCAUGUGUGGACCCUCCAAUGAGGGGGGCCUGGGUCACCUUCACUGAGUGGACAGGACACUCAGUGAAGUUCCAAAGGACACUCAGUGAAGUUCCAAAGGACACUCCGCGUCUUUUUCCUCCAGCUCCUGAAGGAAGCACAGUGAAGACUCCAGCAUGGAAAAGCGUGUCCCACACGGCCUCGGCGCCUCCAUGGAUGAUAGGCAUGGGGCACCCCCUUUCCUCUGGAAGGUUCUGGUGGGGGGCAGCACACCGUCCACGGGAGCAACGGCCUCUGCAUCUGCCCACUGCAGAUUCACUUCGUAUUUUUAGUUCCCAAACCUUGACAUCCAAGCUCCCGCUCUGUGGCUUCCGCGGCAGCCUGGCAAGCUUCCUGUGAAGUCGCCCGCUGCUGAGCUUCCGCACCCUUCCUCCCGCAGAGCCAGCCAGUCAUGGAAGAGCGGGAUCAUCCCGGAAGGGAGCCUGCAGCGAUGAUCCAGCUCCUUCAAAGGGUCUGUGGAUUAUCUCAGCUUCCCUGAAUUAUUCAACUCAGACUGCCAUGCAGAAGAAAAACCAUGAACCCCAAAAUGCUCCAGGAUUGCUGGAAAGUCGCUGUCCUGGUCUGCAGGGCCCGGGGAAACUGAAAGAAGAUCCAGAAGGACGCGCCCUAGCUAUGGAGGCUUUGGUGGCAUCCGAAAGGGGAGGGGGUGGCGACCUGCAUUAGGCCCCCUCCUCUCCAAACACCUGCUGCUGGUGAUGUCGAGAAAACUCCUUGCCCUUGCAACUCUGAGGCGGAGGGGGAAAGGGGACCGGAAGCCUCAACAUUUUCCUGGUUUCCUGGGGGAGGAGGGUCCGAAAGGAAAGGCUGGUGGGGGGGUGGGGGGAAGGGCCCCAGUGACGACUGGAUUCGGAAUUUUCCUCUCACUUCGUGGUAGUGAAGAAUUUAACUACAACAGUAACAACACUAAUAAUUCUAAAAGCCGUGGGAGGUCAGAGCGGGCGCUGCCCGGCGUCACCCCUGCAGCGUCCGGAUCGCUCCGCAUAGGCAGGGGUGGUGCCCCCUCCCCGGGGCACAGAAACGCCACAUCCCGGGGGCGCCGCCCAGAGGCUGUCUCUGUUUCUGUGUCCCUUCAUGAGGCUCUGUCCCACAAAGGCAGCCUGAGCCAGGACCCUAAAGAGGCCUGGUCAUCGGGACCGGAGGGAGUUCCGCUUCCCAGGCCGGCUCUGCAAACGCGAGCCUGCGCCAAGGCGCCCUGCGGGUUUGCUGGUGGCAUCGAGGGGCAGCGCGGGGCCAGCGCUGGGAGCUCCGAACCCACACGCUCCGGCCAGCUGCCCGGGAAGCGCCCAAGCACACGUCCCGAGUCCCAGAUUGGAUUAAGUUGCCCAACUACCUACUUUUUCUCUCUUUAAGGAGAAGCCUAAUUGGAGAAGAUUCGGUUUUCUUCGCCAUGGCAGGUCCCUUUCUCCUGACCCGCAGUUGCAGGGGCUGAGGGUAGGCGCAGGUCCGCCCUGGGGUCGAAGCCACCAUCGGGCCUCGAGGUUGCCCCCCUAACAUCCGGCCUGCACGCCUGGCGGGGGCGCAACAGUGUCUCACGGCUCGGGAGCUCGUUUUUGGCUUCUGAGCAAGGUAUUUUUUUCAUCUGCCGUGUGUUUAGCUGAAUUCAGUAUAUUUUUCUCGCA
rnacentral:lncRNA from 1 species